rnacentral:misc_RNA from 1 species
GAUGAAGAACGUAGCGAAAUGCGAUAAGUAAUGUGAAUUGCAGAAUUCAGUGAAUCAUCGAAUCUUUGAACGCACAUUGCGCCCCCUGGUAUUCCGGGGGGCAUGCCUGUUCGAGCGUCAUUUCACCACUCAAGCCUCGCUUGGUAUUGGGCAACGCGGUCCGCCGCGUGCCUCAAAUCGUCCGGCUGGGUCUUCUGUCCCUAAGCGUUGUGGAAACUAUUCGCUAAAGGGUGUUCGGGAGGCUACGCCGUAAAACAACCCCAUUUCUAAGGUUGACCUCGGAUCAGGUAGGGAUACCCGCUGAACUUAAGCAUAUCAAUAAGCGGAGGA